GACUCGGCGGGCGCUGUUGAGGGAGUCGGGCCGCGACUGUGGUCGUUUUUAUACCUUCCCGCGCGGACGCCGGCGCUGCCAACGGAAGGGCGGGUAGGGCGGUGCGUGAUUAGGUUGGCGAAGAGACGGAGUUUCGUCAUGUUGGCCAGGCCCAUUUGAGAUCUUUGAAGAUAUCCUCAACGUGAGGCUCUGCUGCCAUGAAGGUGAAGAUUAAGUGCUGGAACGGCGUGGCCACUUGGCUCUGGGUGGCCAACGAUGAGAACUGUGGCAUCUGCAGGAUGGCAUUUAACGGAUGCUGCCCUGACUGUGAGUGUCCCCUCCAUGCUGUCUGAGCGGCCCCGACUGUGAGUGUCCCCUCUGUGCUGUCUGCUGCCUGCUGGACUAGCCUCAGUAGCUCCUGUUAAAUACCUGCACGAAAUACCCAGUUUCAUUUUCUUUUUUUUUUUUUUUUUUUGAGACCGAGUUUCGAUCUUGUUUCCCAGGCUGGAGUGCAAUGGCGCGAUCUCGGCUUGCCGCAACCUCUGCCUCCCGGGUUCAAACGGUUCUCCUGCCUCAGCCU
rnacentral:lncRNA from 1 species